GAUGAACGCUGGCGGCGUGCCUAACACAUGCAAGUCGAGCGGCAACGCGCGUUUCUUGCACCCCGUCGGCGAGCGGCGGACGUCUGAGUAACGCGAGGUGACCUUCCCCACAGUGAGGAAUAACUGCCCUAGAGCGAAUAUCAUACCGCAUUUUAUCUUCCGUUCAGGGGAUUUAUCCGCUUUGGGGGCGGGUCGCGUCGGCUUGGGUAGUUGGCGUGGUAAUGGCACACCAGGCCGACGAGCCGUAGAUGGGUUGCGAGGAUGACCAGCCAGACUGGAACUGAGACACGGUCCAGACUCGUACGGGAGGCAGCAGUGAGGAAUCUACCAGAAGGGGCGAGAGGCUGAUGGAGCAACGGCGCGAGCAGGACGAAGGCGUUCGGGUUGGAAAUUGCUAUUAUAAGUGCGGAAUAUGACGGUAACUUAUGAAUAAGGACCGGCUAACUACGUG
rnacentral:rRNA from 1 species